AGAGUUUGAUCCUGGCUCAGAUUGAACGCUGGCGGCAGGCCUAACACAUGCAAGUCGAACGGUAACAUUUCUAGCUUGCUAGAAGAUGACGAGUGGCGGACGGGUGAGUAAUGCUUGGGAACUUGCCUUUGCGAGGGGGAUAACAGUUGGAAACGACUGCUAAUACCGCAUAAUGUCUUCGGACCAAACGGGGCUUCGGCUCCGGCGCAAAGAGAGGCCCAAGUGAGAUUAGCUAGUUGGUAAGGUAACGGCUUACCAAGGCGACGACCUCUAGCUGUUCUGAGAGGAAGAUCAGCCACACUGGGACUGAGACACGGCCCAGACUCCUACGGGAGGCAGCAGUGGGGAAUAUUGCACAAUGGGGGAAACCCUGAUGCAGCCAUGCCGCGUGUGUGAAGAAGGCCUUCGGGUUGUAAAGCACUUUCAGUUGUGAGGAAAAGUUAGUAGUUAAUACCUGCUAGCCGUGACGUUAACAACAGAAGAAGCACCGGCUAACUCCGUGCCAGCAGCCGCGGUAAUACGGAGGGUGCGAGCGUUAAUCGGAAUUACUGGGCGUAAAGCGCACGCAGGCGGUUUGUUAAGCUAGAUGUGAAAGCCCCGGGCUCAACCUGGGAUGGUCAUUUA
rnacentral:rRNA from 1 species